rnacentral:rRNA from 1 species
UAGGGAAUCUUCCACAAUGGACGCAAGUCUGAUGGAGCAACGCCGCGUGAGUGAAGAAGGUCUUCGGAUCGUAAAGCUCUGUUGUUGGUGAAGAAGGAUAGAGGCAGUAAAUGGUCUUUAUUUGACGGUAAUCAACCAGAAAGUCACGGCUAACUACGUGCCAGCAGCCGCGGUAAUACGUAGGUGGCAAGCGUUGUCCGGAUUUAUUGGGCGUAAAGCGAGCGCAGGCGGAAUGAUAAGUCUGAUGUGAAAGCCCACGGCUCAACCGUGGAACUGCAUCGGAAACUGUCAUUCUUGAGUGCAGAAGAGGAGAGUGGAACUCCAUGUGUAGCGGUGGAAUGCGUAGAUAUAUGGAAGAACACCAGUGGCGAAGGCGGCUCUCUGGUCUGCAACUGACGCUGAGGCUCGAAAGCAUGGGUAGCGAACAGGAUUAGAUACCCUGGUAGUCCAUGCCGUAAACGAUGAGCGCUAGGUGUU